rnacentral:rRNA from 1 species
UACGGAAGGUCCGGGCGUUAUCCGGAUUUAUUGGGUUUAAAGGGAGCGUAGGCCGUUUGGUAAGCGUGUUGUGAAAUGUCGGGGCUCAACCUGGGCAUUGCAGCGCGAACUGCCAGACUUGAGUGCGCAGGAAGUAGGCGGAAUUCGUCGUGUAGCGGUGAAAUGCUUAGAUAUGACGAAGAACUCCGAUUGCGAAGGCAGCCUGCUGUAGCGCAACUGACGCUGAAGUUCGAAAGCGUGGGUAUCGAACAGG